CACGUAGGGCGCAAGCGUUGUCCGGAAUUAUUGGGCGUAAAGAGCUCGUAGGCGGUCUGUUGCGUCCGCUGUGAAAACUCGGGGCUUAACCCCGAGCCUGCAGUGGAUACGGGCAGACUAGAGGUAGGUAGGGGAGAAUGGAAUUCCCGGUGUAGCGGUGAAAUGCGCAGAUAUCGGGAGGAACACCGGUGGCGAAGGCGGCUUUCUGGCCUGUUCUUGACGCUGAGGCGCGAAAGCUAGGGGAGCAAACGGG
rnacentral:rRNA from 1 species